rnacentral:rRNA from 1 species
UUGAACGCUGGCGGCCGGCCUAACCCAUGCCAGUCGAACGGUAACAGGAAACAGCUUGCUGUUUCGCUGACGAGUGGCGGACGGGUGAGUAAUGUCUGGGAAACUGCCUGAUGGAGGGGGAUAACUACUGGAAACGGUAGCUAAUACCGCAUAACGUCGCAAGACCAAAGAGGGGGACCUUCGGGCCUCUUGCCAUCGGAUGUGCCCAGAUGGGAUUAGCUAGUAGGUGGGGUAACGGCUCACCUAGGCGACGAUCCCUAGCUGGUCUGAGAGGAUGACCAGCCACACUGGAACUGAGACACGGUCCAGACUCCUACGGGAGGCAGCAGUGGGGAAUAUUGCACAAUGGGCGCAAGCCUGAUGCAGCCAUGCCGCGUGUAUGAAGAAGGCCUUCGGGUUGUAAAGUACUUUCAGCGGGGAGGAAGGGAGUAAAGUUAAUACCUUUGCUCAUUGACGUUACCCGCAGAAGAAGCACCGGCUAACUCCGUG